rnacentral:rRNA from 1 species
AUACGGAGGGUGCAAGCGUUGUUCGGAAUCACUGGGCGUAAAGGGCGCGCAGGCGGUUUGGUAAGUCAGAUGUGAUAGCCCAUGGCUCAACCAUGGAAGUGCAUUUGAAACUGUCAGACUUGAGUACUAGAGGGGAAAGUGGAAUUCCCGGUGUAGAGGUGAAAUUCGUAGAUAUUAGGAAGAACACCAGUGGCGAAGGCGGCUCACUGGCUCGAUACUGACGCUGAGGUGCGAAAGCGUGGGGAGCAAACAGGAUUAGAUACCCUAGUAGUCC